rnacentral:rRNA from 1 species
UACGGGGGGGGCAAGCGUUGUUCGGAAUUACUGGGCGUAAAGGGCUCGUAGGUGGCCAACUAAGUCAGACGUGAAGUCCCUCGGCUUAACCGGGGAACUGCGUCUGAUACUGGAUGGCUUGAGUUCGGGAGAGGGAUGCGGAAUUCCAGGUGUAGCGGUGAAAUGCGUAGAUAUCUGGAGGAACACCGGUGGCGAAGGCGGCAUCCUGGACCGACACUGACACUGAGGAGCGAAAGCCAGGGGAGCAAACGGG